GGGCGCGGGGCGGAGGAGCUGUAGGCAGAUUUUCUUUCUCUCCCCCGGAGCUGGGAAAAGGGCCAGCCCCGUGCCCUGCACGCCUGGCUCUGCUCUGCAGCUGGUCCGUGAGCCAAGAGCCGGUCGAGCAGAGGAGGCGCACGGUUCGGGUCGCGCCACCAUUUCUUCGCUCGCCGACCUGGCCAGCAGCAGGGGAUGGCGGCUCCACCGCGGAGAUGAAUCAUAAGCUCCCUGACCGGGAAGACAUGCCCGCCACGUCCAGCGUCCAAUCCUACGCACCCGCCACCGUCCCUGGCUCAUGGCAGAGUUACUGGGUGCAGUAACAUACCACACUUGCUUUUUAAAAGUGCCUUAAUGGGGCUGCUAUAGUAGAAAGAGAAAAGCUUUCAUUGGUAUGUGUAUGUCGUCCAAAUGGUAUUUUUAAAGAUUUAUUUUUGUGUGUUCAUGAUGUUCUUGAAUAAUGUUUCCAUAAGUACGGUCAAAGAUAAAACUUGUGCAGUGCACAAAAUCUGGUCAUGCAUAUUUUAGAGUGUGACCGUCUUUUGACCAGCCUUGGGAUCCAUUUGCCAAGUUCUUUACUGCCUUGUGUUUCCUUAGGAGGACUUGCUCGAGCUGGCUGGCUGGCCAAGAAACUCCUGCACGUUGGGCCCAGUGAUGGCCGUGCCCUGUGGCAGGUGCAACCCUCCACUUGCAACAGCAUGGCUCUCUAGCUGGACUGGUGGCGGCCAGAGCCUCAGAGCGCAGCCGUUUACUCAGCAAAUGCCUGGUGAGUGCCUUUGACGUGCCAGGUGCUGUGCUGGGCCUUGAGGAUAUGGUGCUAAGAUGGACAAGGCAGCUGGUCCCAUGCAGCAAAUCAAGUAACGGAAAAAGGAGCAGUGACUAAGCACCUACACUAGCGAGGGUGGUCAUAGAAGCCUUCCUUAAACUGGUGUCAUUUCUUCAGAAACCUGAAUGACACACACAAAAAGCCAGCCUGGCAGAAGCAGUGCAAGUGCAAAGGCCCUGGACUCGGAAUGAGCCUGGCUUGCUCAGAGAACUGAGAAGUGAUGGUUGGGGCUAUGGUUUGAAUGUUUGUCACCUCGAAACUCAUGUUGAAAGUUAAUCUCCGGUGUCACAGUAUUGAGAGUUUGGGCUUUUAAGAGGUGAUUGGGUCAUGAGGGCUUUGCUUUCAGGAAUGAAUUAAUGGGUUAAUGGGUUAAUGGGUUAAUAGGUUAUCAUGGGAGGGGAACUGGUGGCUUUACAAGUAGAGGCAGAGAGACUUGAGACAGUGCACGAGCAUGCGCAGGUCGCUUGCCACGCGGUGCCCUGCGUGCACUGGGGCUGUGCAGGGUGCCAGCCAGAAGGCCCGCACCAGAUGUGAGCCCCGACCUCGGACUCCUCCCCUGCGACUGUAAGGA